rnacentral:lncRNA from 1 species
GGUGGGUGGAUGGAUGGGUGGUUGGACGGACUGAUGGUAGAUGAUGUUGGAUGGAUGGGUGGUUGGAUGGGGGGAUGACAGAUGUUGGGUGGAUAGAGAAAGGGAUGAACGGAUGGAUGGAUGGAUAGAUGGAUGGACGGACUGACGUGAUACAGCAGAUGUAGCAAAAUGCUAAUUGCACGAUCUGGGUGGUGAGGGUAUUGAUGGUCCCUACAGAGUUCUUCCAACUUUUCUGUAUGUUUGGAAGUUUUCAUAAUGAAGUAUCGGAGAGAAAGCCUGUGGCCAAGUGUCCCUUACAGCUUCCUUAGCAAACUCAAGCAGCUUGUUAAAAAUUAAGACUCCUGACCCCACCAGGCCCACCUCGUAGCUUUGGGGAGUGAGGCCUGAGAGAUGGCGUUUCCGAAGGUCUGCUGCAGCUCUUGUGAGCCCGGGGUGUUAAAAACACGGCAGAGAAGUCGCCGCGGGAAAGCCGAUCCCAACAAGCAGGCACAGCUCUGUCACCCCAGGGCCCUGCGGCACCUGCCUCAACAAGGCACUGCAGGUCCUGCGCCCUGACCGCCACGCUGGGAUCCAGGCCGCGGGCCUCCAGAGGAUCCGAAACGCUCACCCCAGGAUCGCGUGUCGCCCUACGGUCUCCAGGACCACGUCUACUUCUGAUUACGCCGCCAGCUCCAUGGAAAGUAGCUGCUCACGGGAGGGCCCGCGAGUGGUUUGCUUGUGCACCGAACACACAUCUAGUGAGCACGCGGGACGCUUCGGGUUCUGUGCGACGGCGAGGCGGGGAGGGGGCGGUUCUGGAACCCUCUCUCACAGGAACACCUUGCUCUACAGUCCUCACGUCAGGGUCUGCUUGUGAGGAAAGCCAGAGUUGGUCGGACUCAGGACAGCACGCCGGGGAAGGAAGUGGGGUGGAGGCACGGAGGAGCCGACACCAGAGGGGAAGCCAGGAGCACGAUGCCAGGAAGCCACAGCGAUGUGGCUGCCGGGAGGGGCCGCAGGGAGGGGCUGCGUGACCCCUGCCUCAGGGUUACGCCAAGAACACUGCUGACUGGGGGGAAUGAGGCUGGGGCUGUGGGACCCCUGGCCUCUUUGUCAGAAGAGCCCAGAAGCCCCAGCACCGAGCAGCACUGGCGGCGGGUACGUUCCGGCUUGCAGGGAGCCGGUGCUCCUCGAGGCUGGUUCUCCGGGCCCUGGGCAGCCCUGGGCAGCCUC